UUGUUUUUGAUGAUGUGACACAUUCAAAACAAAUAAAAUUAAUUGUUUUUGAUGAUGUGACACAUUUAAAACAAAUAAAAUUAAUCGGGGAUCUUGAAUACUUGGGUUCAGGAAGUCGAAUCAUUACAAACUUAUAACAACAAGGGAUAAACAAGUGCUUAAAAAUUGUGGUCCGAAUGAUGCUACCAUAUAUGAAGUCAAAGGAUUAAGUAGGAAUGAAUCUCUUCUACUUUUUCAACAAUAUGCCUUCAAACAAAGCCAUCCCAUCUUUGAAGAUUACAUUGAGCUAUCAAAUAGAGUAAUAAGUUAUACCAAAGGUGUGCCAUUAGCUCUUAUAGUCUUGGGUUCCUUUCUAUUUGGUUCCACAUAAGGAUAUCCAAACAAUACUGAAGAUAAGUCAUGAUGGACUGGAUGAUGAAGAGAAAUAUUUAUUUCUAGAUAUUGCAUUCUUCUUUUAAGGAUGGGAUGAAAGUCUUGUGAGAGAAAUUUUAAACUCCAUUGCUCUGCACAUAUUGGAAUGAGUGUUCUCAUUGCUCUUAACUAUUUCAUACAACACCAUAAGAAUGCAUGAUUUGCUUCAAGAGAUGGGAAGAUAAAUUGUUCGACAAGAAUCGAUUAAUAAACCCGGCAAACAUAGUCGAUUGUGGCAUCAUAAUGAUGUUUAUCAUGUAUUGAGAGAAAAUAUGGGAAGUGAUACAAUACAAGGCAUAUGCUUUGAAAUGUCUGAAAUAAGAGAGAUAUAUUUAAAUACUUUUGCUUUCUUGGGGAUGGAUAAUCUAAGAUUCUUGAUAGUGUAUAACUCAAAAUAUAGAGACAAUAACACUAAGAAGCAUGGUUUUGAAGGCCUUAAAUUUGAUUUUGCAGAGCUUAGAUGCCUUUAUUGGAAUGAUUACCCCUGCACAUAGUUGCCUUUGAAAUUUUAUCAUGAGAACCUUGUUGUACUGAAGAUGCGCAACGACAAUCUUUAGCAACUAUGGACUAGUAUUAAGAAUCUCGACAAUUUAAAAUAUGUUGACCUAAGUUUCUCAAAACAUCUAUUUAAAAUCCCAAACCUCACACGCGCCAAAUAUAGAGAGCUCGAUUCUAUAAGACUGACAAGUUUGGUUGAGAUCACUCUUCCAGCUAUUCAACAUCCCAAUAAACUUUUUAAUUUGAAUCUCAGAAAUUGCAAAAGUCUCAUCAGUCUUUCAAUUGGUAUUCAAUUAAAAUCUAGAGAUGUUAUUCUCUCUACCUGCUGAAAUCUCAAGACAGCUCCAAGUAUCUCAUAUAAUAUGGAACAACUGUAUUUCGAUGGAACUGCAAUAAAAGGAUUAUUUUCUUCCAUUGAAUGUCCUUUCAAACAAGUCGAAUGGAAUCUUAUGGGCUGUUCAAGGCUUGAAAGUCUUCCAAGAAGCAUUUAUAUAUUGAAAUCUCUUUGAUAUCUUAAUCUAUCUGGUUGCUGAAAUCUAAAAUUGGUUCUGGAGAUCUCAUGCAAUAUAGAAUGGGGGUGUUAGCUAUCACAUAUGUUUGCAAGUUUGCAGAGUUACCUAAUGAUCUUGGCCAGUUGUCCUUACUCAGAAUUUUAGAAUUAGCUUGAAACAAUUUUGAGAGCAUAUCAACAAGCAUUGUCAAGCUUUUUAAGUUGUGGUUCCUUGGCAUAGGGUUUUGUAAUAAGCUUCCAUCCUUACGAAAGCUGCCAUUUAGUACAGAAAAGCUAAAUGCAGAGUGUUGUGAAUUGCUGAAAGCAUUAUCAGGGUUGACAAUUAGAAGCCAUGGAUUUUACGACAGGACAUUUAACUUCACCACUUGCUCCAAUUCUGACUGGUAUGCACUCAGAAAGAUAUGAAGACAUCAUCUGACUUUAUGGACAGUCCUCAAGGUUGUAUGUGUUUCUCUGGAAGUGAACUUCCAGAGUGGUUUGACAUUCAAAGUAUUGGAUCUUCUAUAGAGCUACCACAAGGUUCGUUCAAUCGUAAGUGUGUAGGUUUUGUCUUUGUCAAAGUUCAUAAUUUGUGCUGUAGUAUGGAGGUUGAGUGUGAUUUCGUUUGAAAUGCAAAGGAUCUGGAUACAAGACAGCUGCUGAAAAAGGUUUUUCAUAUAUUCAACUUGAGUAUAUGAAAUCAGAUCAUGUAUUCUUGGGGUAUAGUUGCAGAACAUGUGAUUUUCGUGAAUUCUCUUCCAGUACAGAGGUCAUUAUCAAUUUCAGCCCAAAAGUGUGGGAUUCUUUUGUUGUUCGCUCAAGAGGUUUGAGGUACCUAUGAAAAGAUCCAGAUGUUCCAUCUUUGAUGAAGAGGGAGAGCAAGGGGAUGCACACUCCAAGAGAUUGAAAUCAGAUAUGUGGACUGGAGUGGACAAGCAUCCCCAAAGAGAUUAUUCAUUGGACAUGGCUUGAAUAGCAGCAGGAAUGAAAAUAAGCUAUGCUUGUGGAAGUACCCUUCAUGACUAGAGUUGGGUAGUUAAAGUGCAAAGCUUUAGAAUCCUUGAGCUUUCCCAGUUUUUUGCAUAGGCCGGAUGGCCAGCUGGGGUGGAUGAGAUCCCUUCACUUCUGGGAGAUUUUCAAACCAUCUUCCAACGAAGAUUCAAAUGUUUCAUAUAUUGACAGCCAUCUAUCUCGAAGGACAACUAAAGAUGGUCUUGAGAAAGUGUGGAAUGUGAAACCUUUUGGUCAAUGGGAAAGAGAUUAUGAAUAUUUUGCAGCUUAAAUAUGGAGGGCCACCUCUUAGGGAGUGGUAACAAAAACUGCUUGCAUGGCAGCUUUCCCAUCCCUCUGGGACUGCAGAGGAGGGCCUUGACUGGAUGAAGCAGACAUACUUCGUGUAAAGCUGCAGUCCGGCAACUCAGUUGAUUGAUCUAAGCUAUAGUUAGCGUUCGUUCUUCGGAUUAUACAUUUUUUUUUCUUUCUUAUUUAUGAGAUACUGAGGCUGGAUAAGCACUCUGAUGCACGUGAACAUCCAUCGGUCCUGGAUGCCAAAGCUUAUUAUCUUUGCAGCGAGAUGGAUUGGGGUCAUUCUACAGCAAGGAGAUUUUAUCUUCCUGACGGCGGUAAGGGAGGGAACGAAAGACAGAGAUUCAGGUUAAUGUGUGAGUUAACAAUUUUGUAUAGAUCCUCAAAUCUGUCUAUUAACUUGUAUUUAAUAUCCAUAGAUUUUGUAGUGUCUAGUUUGAAAUGCGCAAUUAUUAUCGUUCUGCAUUUCUGAUUUGUUAUGAAAUUCAGUAGGACAGAUGGCUUCAACCUCACACGAUGAUAAUAUUUAUAAUCAUAUUAAUGAUGCGUAAUUCUUUAAU